UACGAAGGGGGCUAGCGUUGCUCGGAAUCACCGGGCGUAAAGGGUGCGUAGGCGGGUCUUUAAGUCCGGGGUGAAAUCCUGGAGCUCAACUCCAGAACUGCCUUUGAUACUGAGGAUCUUGAGUUCGGGAGAGGUGAGUGGAACUGCGAGUGUAGAGGUGAAAUUCGUAGAUAUUCGCAAGAACACCAGUGGCGAAGGCGGCUCUCUGGGCAAUGACCGACGCUGAGACGCGAAAGCGUGGGAAGCAAACAGG
rnacentral:rRNA from 1 species